AUAACGUUCGGAAACGGACGCUAAUACCGCAUACGUCCUACGGGAGAAAGCAGGGGACCUUCGGGCCUUGCGCUAUCAGAUGAGCCUAGGUCGGAUUAGCUAGUUGGUGGGGUAAUGGCUCACCAAGGCGACGAUCCGUAACUGGUCUGAGAGGAUGAUCAGUCACACUGGAACUGAGACACGGUCCAGACUCCUACGGGAGGCAGCAGUGGGGAAUAUUGGACAAUGGGCGAAAGCCUGAUCCAGCCAUGCCGCGUGUGUGAAGAAGGUCUUCGGAUUGUAAAGCACUUUAAGUUGGGAGGAAGGGCAGUAAAUUAAUACUUUGCUGUUUUGACGUUACCGACAGAAUAAGCACCGGCUAACUCUGUGCCAGCCCCCGCGGUAAUACGAAUCACUAGUGAAUUCGCGGCCGCCUGCAGGUCG
rnacentral:rRNA from 1 species